CUACGGGUUGCUGCAGUGGGGAAUAUUGGGCAAUGGGCGCAAGCCUGACCCAGCAACGCCGCGUGAGGGAAGAAGGUUCUCGGAUUGUAAACCUCUGUCCUUGGGGACGAAGAAAGUGACGGUACCCAAGGAGGAAGCUCCGGCUAACUACGUGCCAGCAGCCGCGGUAAUACGUAGGGAGCAAGCGUUGUCCGGAAUUACUGGGCGUAAAGGGUGCGUAGGCGGCAUAUUAAGUCAGGUGUGAAAUAUUCGGGCUCAACCCGAAGGGUGCAUUUGAAACUGGUAUGCUUGAGUGUGAGAGAGGAAAGUGGAAUUCCUAGUGUAGCGGUGAAAUGCGUAGAUAUUAGGAGGAACACCAGUGGCGAAGGCGACUUUCUGGCUCAUAACUGACGCUGAGGCACGAAAGCGUGGGUAGCAAACAGGAUUAGAUACCCUUGUAGUC
rnacentral:rRNA from 1 species